GUGCCAGCAGCCGCGGUAAUACGUAGGGUGCGAGCGUUGUCCGGAAUUAUUGGGCGUAAAGGGCUCGUAGGCGGUUUGUCGCGUCGGGAGUGAAAACGCCGUGCUUAACACGGCGCUUGCUUUCGAUACGGGCAGACUAGAGGUAUGCAGGGGAGAACGGAAUUCCUGGUGUAGCGGUGAAAUGCGCAGAUAUCAGGAGGAACACCGGUGGCGAAGGCGGUUCUCUGGGCAUUACCUGACGCUGAGGAGCGAAAGUGUGGGGAACGAACAGGAUUAGAUACCCUGGUAGUCCACACCGUAAACGUUGGGCGCUAGGUGUGGGGUCCAUUUCACGGAUUCCGUGCCGCAGCUAACGCAUUAAGCGCCCCGCCUGGGGAGUACGGCCGCAAGGCUAAAACUCAAAGGAAUUGACGGGGGCCCGCACAAGCGGCGGAGCAUGCGGAUUAAUUCGAUGCAACGCGAAGAACCUUACCAGG
rnacentral:rRNA from 1 species